rnacentral:rRNA from 1 species
CACACCGCCCGUCACACCAUGGGAGUUGAUUGCACCAGAAGCAGGUAGCCUAACCGCAAGGGGGGCGCCUACCACGGUGAGAUUCGUGACUGGGGUG